rnacentral:sRNA from 1 species
UUUGAUUAGAUGGAGAGGACAACUACAUUUGUUGAUUUGUUUUGUGGGGGAGGGAAGGAAAUUAAAUUGAAUAAGAGUAACCUGAAUAUUCAGCUUGUUUUUGAUUCUGCAUAAUGAGGAUAAGAUUAUCUGUAAAGGCUGAAAAAAUAGAAAAGAAAAAAACAGGAUCACAGGAAAAGAUAAAAAUAUGAGCCUGAACUAUUCUCUUCUGAACAAAGAGGAAAACAUUCAAUAAACCACUUUCUUUUUCAUGUUGGUCCUCUUUACAGAGACAAGAUUUAAAACUGUCCAUGUACCCCCAAACCCUUUAAAGAAAAGAAACGGAGUUGCAGCAAAUUCUUAUGUUACAGCAUUUUGAUUGAUUUACCAAAGGGAAGUGCUGAGUUAUGCAUAUUUAUUCUGCAUUUGCACUGCCUUGCAUCUUGUGUGGCCUACUUUACUGUGGAGGAAAAGGACACAUUACUUCACCUGCCUGUGCAACAUAAAGACAUGAUGAGUCAAUAUACCCCAAAGUUUUCAGAAGCAAUUGACUACAAGAUAUGGCUUUGACUAUGCCCAAGUAAUAGCUCAACUGAUCAACUCAGUUAUGCUUGUUGAUGUAUAAAUCUCAUAUAUAAAUUGCGCAUCAUAUCUUGUAACUGAUAGAAUAAGGCACGACUUUAGUUGUGGCAAUGUAGACUGACAGAUCUUGCAAGGAGUGAUAGAACUUAGAUUCUCCACUGGUUUUUUGUAUUGUUUUUCUGCUGUGUCUUCAGAUACAUUG